GAUGAACGCUAGCGGCAGGCUUAAUACAUGCAAGUCGAGGGGCAGCAUGGUGUAGCAAUACACUGAUGGCGACCGGCAAACGGGUGCGGAACACGUACACAACCUCCCUUCAAGCGGGGCAUAGCCCAGAGAAAUUUGGAUUAAUACCCCAUAGAAUAUUGGAAAGGCAUCUUUUUGAUAUUAAAGAUUUAUCACUUGAAGAUGGGUGUGCGGCUGAUUAGGUAGUUGGCGGGGUAACGGCCCACCAAGCCUUCGAUCAGUAACUGGUGUGAGAGCACGACCAGUCAGACGGGCACUGAGACACGGGCCCGACUCCUACGGGAGGCAGCAGUAAGGAAUAUUGGUCAAUGGACGAAAGUCUGAACCAGCCAUGCCGCGUGGAGGAUGAAGGUCCUCUGGAUUGUAAACUUCUUUUAUAUGGGACGAAAAAGGGGCUUUCUAGCUCAACUGACGGUACCAUAUGAAUAAGCACCGGCUAACUCCGUGCCAGCAGCCGCCGUAACAC
rnacentral:rRNA from 1 species